CAAUAGGGUAUAUUAAAGUUGUUGCAGUUAAAAAGCUCGUAGUUGGAUUUCUGAUCGAGACAUCAGGUCGGGUCCGAGAGGAUCAUGUACUUUGAUUUUGUUUUGAUCAUCCUUGGGGAGAGCAUUUCUGGCAUUCAGUUGUCGGGAUUGGGAUCCUCAUCGUUUACUGUGAAAAAAUUAGAGUGUUCAAAGCAGGCCUCGGCCUCUGAAUACAUUAGCAUGGAAUAAUAAGAUAGGACUUUGGUGGUCUAUUUUGUUGGUUUGCACGCCAAAGUAAUGAUUAAUAGGGAUAGUUGGGGGUAUUCGUAUUCAAUUGUCAGAGGUGAAAUUCUUGGAUUUAUGGAAGACGAACUACUGCGAAAGCAUUUACCAAGGAUGUUUUCAUUAA
rnacentral:rRNA from 1 species